rnacentral:piRNA from 1 species
UGAAGAUCCUACAGCAGAAGUGCAUGGC